rnacentral:rRNA from 1 species
ACUCCUGCGGGAGGCAGCAGUGGGGAAUUUUGGACAAUGGGCGAAAGCCUGAUCCAGCAAUGCCGCGUGCAGGAUGAAGGCCUUCGGGUUGUAAACUGCUUUUGUACGGAACGAAAAAGCUCCUUCUAAUACAGGGGGCCCAUGACGGUACCGUAAGAAUAAGCACCGGCUAACUACGUGCCAGCAGCCGCGGUAAUACGUAGGGUGCGAGCGUUAAUCGGAAUUACUGGGCGUAAAGCGUGCGCAGGCGGUUAUGUAAGACAGAUGUGAAAUCCCCGGGCUCAACCUGGGAACUGCAUUUGUGACUGCAUGGCUAGAGUACGGUAGAGGGGGAUGGAAUUCCGCGUGUAGCAGUGAAAUGCGUAGAUAUGCGGAGGAACACCGAUGGCGAAGGCAAUCCCCUGGACCUGUACUGACGCUCAUGCACGAAAGCGUGGGGAGCAAACAGGAUUAGAUACCCCAGUAGUCCCAUGAU